rnacentral:tRNA from 1 species
ACCUGGCUGGCUCAGUUGGGAGAGCAUGUGACUCUUGAUCUCAGGAUUGUAAAUUCGAGCCCCACGUUGGGUG